rnacentral:rRNA from 1 species
GAUAAACGCUGGCGGCGCACAUAAGACAUGCAAGUCGAACGAACUUAAUACCUUGCUUGCAAGGUAAGCGGUUAGUGGCGGACUGGUGAGUAACACGUAAGAAAUCUGCCUAUCAGAGGGGAAUAACAGUGAGAAAUCACUGCUAAUACCGCAUAUGCCAUAGGAAUCGCAUGAUUCUAGUGGGAAAGGAGCAAUCCGCUGAUAGAUGAGCUUGCGUCUGAUUAGCUAGUUGGUGGGGUAAAGGCCUACCAAGGCGACGAUCAGUAGCCGGACUGAGAGGUUGAACGGCCACAUUGGGACUGAGAUACGGCCCAGACUCCUACGGGAGGCAGCAGUCGGGAAUAUUGCGCAAUGGAGGAAACUCUGACGCAGUGACGCCGCGUAUAGGAAGAAGGUUUUCGGAUUGUAAACUAUUGUCCACAGGGAAGAUAAAAGACUGUACCUGUGAAGAAAGCUCCGGCUAACUACGUGCCAGCAGCCGCGGUAAUACGUAGGGAGCAAGCGUUAUCCGGAAUUAUUGGGUGUAAAGGGUGCGUAGACGGGAUAACAAGUUAGUUGUGAAACCCCCCGGCUCAACUGAGGAACUGCAACUAAAACUAUUAUUCUUGAGUGCAGGAGAGGAAAGUGGAAUUCCUAGUGUAGCGGUGAAAUGCGUAGAUAUUAGGAAGAACACCGGUGGCGAAGGCGACUUUCUGGACUGUAACUGACGUUGAGGCACGAAAGUGUGGGGAGCAAACAGGAUUAGAUACCCUGGUAGUCCACACUGUAAACGAUGGAUACUAGGUGUAGGAGAUAUUAAAGCUUCUGUGCCGUCGCUAACGCAGUAAGUAUCCCACCUGGGGGAGUACGACCGCAAGGUUGAAACUCAAAGGAAUUGACGGGGGCCCGCACAAGCAGUGGAGUAUGUGGUUUAAUUCGAAGCAACGCGAAGAACCUUACCAGGGCUUGACAUACAAGUGAAUGUCUAAGAGAUUAGGCAGUAUUUCGGUACACUUGUACAGGUGGUGCAUGGUUGUCGUCAGCUCGUGUCGUGAGAUGUUAGGUUAAGUCCUGCAACGAGCGCAACCCCUAUACUUAGUUGCCAGCACGUAAAGGUGGGAACUCUAAGUAGACUGCCGGUGAUAAAUCGGAGGAAGGUGGGGACGACGUCAAAUCAUCAUGCCCUUUAUGUCCUGGGCUACACACGUACUACAAUGGCUAUAACAAAGAGAAGCGAGACGGAGACGUUAAGCGAAACCCAAAAAAGUAGUCUCAGUUCGGAUUGAAGGCUGAAAUUCGCCUUCAUGAAGCCGGAAUUGCUAGUAAUGGCAGGUCAGCAUACUGCCGUGAAUACGUUCCCGGGCCUUGUACACACCGCCCGUCACACCAUGAGAGUUGGGAAUACCCGAAGCCUGUGAGCUAACGUAAGAGGCAGCAGUCGAAGGUAGAAUCAAUGAUUGGGGUG